UACGUAGGGGGCGAGCGUUGUCCGGAUUUAUUGGGCGUAAAGAGCGUGUAGGCGGCCAGGUAGGUCUGCUGUGAAAACUCGAGGCUCAACCUCGAGCUGUCGGCGGAAACCAUCUGGCUAGAGUCCGGAAGAGGAGAAUGGAAUUCCCGGUGUAGCGGUGAAAUGCGCAGAUAUCGGGAAGAACACCCGUGGCGAAAGGCGGUUCUCUGGGACGGUACUGACGCUGAGACGCGAAAGCGUGGG
rnacentral:rRNA from 1 species